AAUUGUGCUCUCAAGAGUGUUUGAUAUGUUCACAAAAAGUGUUUUGAUGAAUUGGUUUAUUUGAAGUUCAAAUUGGUUUGUUGAAGAAGGUUGACUCUAUCCUGGACAGCACACAGCCUCCUCCCAGUGGGGCCCAUCACGCUCAGGUCGUUCAUCGCUGCCACCUCCGGCCAUUCAACUACGCAGCCCUAAGACGUUCACCGCCAUCAGAAACAGCGACGAGCACGAAGACACCCUCUCAUGCUCAGUGCUCUGUCCGGCAUAACACAAGAAGUUCAUGUAAAACAACUGCGAACAUUCAGCUCGCCCCUCCUCCAUCGAUGGCCUACACCGGCCGCUAGAACCCAUCCAGGUGCUCGCCGUCAUCCUCUAUCUUCAAUUACGGGUCAGCAAUAGCGCUGCGAAUAGAAAGGGCCCUGUGAAGUUCAAUUUGUUUUGCUUUCCGAAUUUUAGUUUGUUGAUUUUCUGAAGUUUGGAUUGUUAAUUUUUUGAAGAGAAAGGUUGCUUCACUUGCACUCCUCUAUCUAGUCCUGUGUGGUGAUAUCCUCGACUCCUCCUU